rnacentral:rRNA from 1 species
GGGUUGUGAGGUUAAGCGACUAAGCGUACACGGUGGAUGCCCUGGCAGUCAGAGGCGAUGAAGGACGUGCUAAUCUGCGAUAAGCGUCGGUAAGGUGAUAUGAACCGUUAUAACCGGCGAUUUCCGAAUGGGGAAACCCAGUGUGAUUCGUCACACUAUCAUUAACUGAAUCCAUAGGUUAAUGAGGCGAACCGGGGGAACUGAAACAUCUAAGUACCCCGAGGAAAAGAAAUCAACCGAGAUUCCCCCAGUAGCGGCGAGCGAACGGGGAGGAGCCCAGAGCCUGAAUCAGUGUGUGUGUUAGUGGAAGCGUCUGGAAAGGCGCGCGAUACAGGGUGACAGCCCCGUACACAAAAAUGCACAUGCUGUGAGCUCGAUGAGUAGGGCGGGACACGUGGUAUCCUGUCUGAAUAUGGGGGGACCAUCCUCCAAGGCUAAAUACUCCUGACUGACCGAUAGUGAACCAGUACCGUGAGGGAAAGGCGAAAAGAACCCCGGCGAGGGGAGUGAAAAAGAACCUGAAACCGUGUACGUACAAGCAGUGGGAGCACGCUUCGGCGUGUGACUGCGUACCUUUUGUAUAAUGGGUCAGCGACUUAUAUUCUGUAGCAAGGUUAACCGAAUAGGGGAGCCGAAGGGAAACCGAGUCUUAACUGGGCGUUAAGUUGCAGGGUAUAGACCCGAAACCCGGUGAUCUAGCCAUGGGCAGGUUGAAGGUUGGGUAACACUAACUGGAGGACCGAACCGACUAAUGUUGAAAAAUUAGCGGAUGACUUGUGGCUGGGGGUGAAAGGCCAAUCAAACCGGGAGAUAGCUGGUUCUCCCCGAAAGCUAUUUAGGUAGCGCCUCGUGAAUUCAUCUCCGGGGGUAGAGCACUGUUUCGGCAAGGGGGUCAUCCCGACUUACCAACCCGAUGCAAACUGCGAAUACCGGAGAAUGUUAUCACGGGAGACACACGGCGGGUGCUAACGUCCGUCGUGAAGAGGGAAACAACCCAGACCGCCAGCUAAGGUCCCAAAGUCAUGGUUAAGUGGGAAACGAUGUGGGAAGGCCCAGACAGCCAGGAUGUUGGCUUAGAAGCAGCCAUCAUUUAAAGAAAGCGUAAUAGCUCACUGGUCGAGUCGGCCUGCGCGGAAGAUGUAACGGGGCUAAACCAUGCACCGAAGCUGCGGCAGCGACACUAUGUGUUGUUGGGUAGGGGAGCGUUCUGUAAGCCUGCGAAGGUGGCCUGUGAGGGUUGCUGGAGGUAUCAGAAGUGCGAAUGCUGACAUAAGUAACGAUAAAGCGGGUGAAAAGCCCGCUCGCCGGAAGACCAAGGGUUCCUGUCCAACGUUAAUCGGGGCAGGGUGAGUCGACCCCUAAGGCGAGGCCGAAAGGCGUAGUCGAUGGGAAACAGGUUAAUAUUCCUGUACUUGGUGUUACUGCGAAGGGGGACGGAGAAGGCUAUGUUGGCCGGGCGACGGUUGUCCCGGUUUAAGCGUGUAGGCUGGUUUUCCAGGCAAAUCCGGAAAAUCAAGGCUGAGGCGUGAUGACGAGGCACUACGGUGCUGAAGCAACAAAUGCCCUGCUUCCAGGAAAAGCCUCUAAGCAUCAGGUAACAUCAAAUCGUACCCCAAACCGACACAGGUGGUCAGGUAGAGAAUACCAAGGCGCUUGAGAGAACUCGGGUGAAGGAACUAGGCAAAAUGGUGCCGUAACUUCGGGAGAAGGCACGCUGAUACGUAGGUGAAGUCCUCGCGGAUGGAGCUGAAAUCAGUCGAAGAUACCAGCUGGCUGCAACUGUUUAUUAAAAACACAGCACUGUGCAAACACGAAAGUGGACGUAUACGGUGUGACGCCUGCCCGGUGCCGGAAGGUUAAUUGAUGGGGUUAGCGGUAACGCGAAGCUCUUGAUCGAAGCCCCGGUAAACGGCGGCCGUAACUAUAACGGUCCUAAGGUAGCGAAAUUCCUUGUCGGGUAAGUUCCGACCUGCAACGAAUGGCGUAAUGAUGGCCAGGCUGUCUCCACCCGAGACUCAGUGAAAUUGAACUCGCUGUGAAGAUGCAGUGUACCCGCGGCAAGACGGAAAGACCCCGUGAACCUUUACUAUAGCUUGACACUGAACAUUGAGCCUUGAUGUGUAGGAUAGGUGGGAGGCUUUGAAGUGUGGACGCCAGUCUGCAUGGAGCCGACCUUGAAAUACCACCCUUUAAUGUUUGAUGUUCUAACGUUGGACCCGUUAUCGGGGGUUGCGGACAGUGUCUGGUGGGUAGUUUGACUGGGGCGGUCUCCUCCUAAAGAGUAACGGAGGAGCACGAAGGUUGGCUAAUCCUGGUCGGACAUCAGGAGGUUAGUGCAAUGGCAUAAGCCAGCUUGACUGCGAGCGUGACGGCGCGAGCAGGUGCGAAAGCAGGUCAUAGUGAUCCGUGGUUCUGAAUGGAAGGGCCAUCGCUCAACGGAUAAAAGGUACUCCGGGAUAACAGGCUGAUACCGCCCAAGAGUUCAUAUCGACGGCGGUGUUUGGCACCUCGAUGUCGGCUCAUCACAUCCUGGGGUGCGAAAGCAGGUCAUAGUGAUCCGGUGGUUCUGAAUGGAAGGGCCAUCGCUCAACGGAUAAAAGGUACUCCGGGAUAACAGGCUGAUACCGCCAAGAGUUCAUAUCGACGGCGGUGUUUGGCACCUCGAUGUCGGCUCAUCACAUCCUGGGCUGAAGUAGGUCCCAAGGGUAUGGCUGGUUCGCCAUUUAAGUGGUACGCGAGCUGGGUUUAGAACGUCGUGAGACAGUUCGGUCCCUAUCUGCCGUGGGCGCUGGAGAACUGAGGGGGGCUGCUCCUAGUACGAGAGGACCGGAGUGGACGCAUCACUGGUGUUCGGGUUGUCAUGCCAAUGGCACUGCCCGGUAGCUAAAUGCGGAAGAGAUAAGUGCUGAAGCAUCUAAGCACGAAACUUGCCCCGAGAUGAGUUCUCCCUGACUCCCUGAGAGUCCUGAAGGAACGUUGAAGACGACGACGUUGAUAGGCCGGGUGUGUAAGCGCAGCGAUGCGUUGAGCUAACCGGUACUAAUGAACCGUGAGGCUUAACCUUACAACGCCGAAG